rnacentral:rRNA from 1 species
CCUACGGGUGGCAGCAGUGGGGGAUAUUGCACAAUGGGGGGAACCCUGAUGCAGCGACGCCGCGUGGGUGAAGAAGCGCCUCGGCGCGUAAAGCCCUGUCAGCAGGGAAGAAAAUGACGGUACCUGAAGAAGAAGACCCGGCUAACUACGUGCCAGCAGCCGCGGUAAUACGUAGGGGGCAAGCGUUAUCCGGCUUUACUGGUUGUAAAGGGGGCGCAGACGGCGAUGAAACCCAGGGGUGAAAGCCCGGGGCGCAACCCCGGGACUGCUCUUGGAACUGCAUGGCUGGAGUGCAGGAGGGGCAGGCGGAAUUCCUGGUGUAGCGGUGAAAGGCGUAGAUAUCAGGAGGAACACCGGUGGCGAAGGCGGCCUGCUGGACUGCAACUGACGUUGAGGCCCGAAAGCGUGGGGAGCAAACAGGAUUAGAUACCCGUGUAGUC